UACAUAGUGUUAUAUGGUGUUACAUAUUGUUAUACGGUGUUUAUAUGGUGUUAUAUAGUGUUAUAUAUAGUGUUAUAUAACACUUCUCACACUUCUGGAUUAAUGUACAUAAUCCUCAAUCUAGACGUACAUGUCAUUGUUUUUUUUUUGACAAAAUUGCAGGAAAUAACCUUUAUGUUUGUCUCAAACUACACUUUAUACCUUUCAUUAUGAAAUCGGCAAAAACCAACCUUUAUGUUAUUUUUUGAUACAAGGGUCAACCUUUAACACAAACGAUGUUUGUUUUUCUUGUUAACCCCCCUCACACGCAAUGCAUGAGAGGGUAUUUUGGUCUUUUUAAAUCCUUUUCAAUAUAUAUUUAAAAAACACCACAAAACCCACCAUGAGCCUCCAUUACUUCAUCUCCAAGAACCACCAUAAACAAUUCUACAACCAACUUCUCCACCCCAAACACAACAAAUCCUUUAAUCUUAAAUUAUCAUCCUCCUCUAAAACCUCAAUCACCGAGAUAUUCGAUUUCAUGACAAAGAAGAAGAUGUAUAUAUGCCGUUGAGUAACAUGAGGCAGUGGACUCGAAACAAGCCCAGAGGCUUUGGUGAAGGCAAAGUCUAUGACACCACCCUUGAAGAUAAGUUAUUGCAUGAGCUGGAGUAGAGUAAGGCUGCUCAACUUGUCAAUAUCAAUAACCUCAAGAACAAUCCCAACAACCCCCUUCCCCAAACCAAAGAAGUGGUUCAGAAGCAAAUCAGAUGUGAAAUAAUGCCAUCUGCUAUUGAUAGAAAAGAAAGCCCUCUGCCAGUUUUCAAUGCCACUAUGGCUCCUCCUGUUACUGAAACACCACUUGACCCAUGUCUUGAUAUGUUGAAAAUUGGUGAUGUUGACCUUGUAUCAGCAACCGAUGAUGAUGAUGACAACAGUUUUGGAAAUGUGGUUGAAGAAAAACAUGAAGCUGAAGUGAGUUCAGAGUCAUUAAAGAAACAGAAGGUGAUUACGGAAAAGGGGAAGAAGACAA